CAACCUUUGUCAGCCCAGGAAGAUCUAUGAGGGUUAAGUUUACGACUGCAAAAAAUGCCACAUAACUAUGUCAAAAAAUAUAUUAAUGUAAAGUUCACUUUUAAAAAAAGCAGAAGACUAAAUCCUCCAAGUUUUGGAACAGAAGAUUCAUUCAACGAUAUCAAAAAAUGUAGCCAUUCUUUAAAUUAUAAGCCAUAAAUAGUCACCACGAUGAAAUCAGAAAUAAGAUGGAAAUGGUAAUAAAGAGAUACAACACAGAGACACAAAUUCUAUAGCACACACACCGUCACAGAGACAAAACAACAUCAAAAACAACAUCAAACACCAUCAAGUACAAUUUCUACUCCAAGAAAAUUCAAUUUUGAAAAUAAAAAUUACCUCGAAAACAAAAAGCACGAUGAUGGAAACCUUUGCAGACCACGACCACGAUGAUGCACCGCCACUGCCACAAACGCUAUACCACGACCCACCACCCUGCCGGAAACACCACGUCACCAACGACCACACCUCCACGGGAGACUCACCCUCGACACCACCAGCCCUCAACGCAGUAACCACUCGAACCCUAGCCCAAGACUCCCAAACCAGAACGCACCGUGAAGGAACCCUAUUCGAGAAUGACCACCACCAGGACUAUCCGAGAAAGUGAGAGAGGGUGAAGAAAAGGCGGGACGUGAAAAGGGAGGGAAUUGUUUGAAGGAAACGACGAACUCGACGAAGGCUGAAGAAAGUGAAAUUGGGGAACGAAAACCCCAACUGAGGUUUUAAAUCAGGAAGGAACUUACCGACGGCUCAAAAGCCUUCGGUAAGCAUAACAUUACCCACGGCCUCAAGGCCUUCGGUAAUAUGUCGUAGAUAAAUCGCGCUUUUCCUGUAGUAUGUACACUGUUUGGAACAACUAUGGUUAGAAAAAAUCAAUUAACUUUUCAAAACACAAUANCUCUGUAAAACUAGUCAAGAUUUGUACCACAUUCAAUGAAACUAGUCAAGAUUUGUCUUGCAGAUUCACUAUCGAAAUCCAUUUGAACUCCUCUGUAAAAUUCUUUAAGCUCAUUCUGCCUCUUAAAGACCAAAUGUUUCAAUCUGCAAAUAUCAAACCACAAAUACUUAAGUAUUGAAGUGAACAUCUGGAUUCUAAGUUCAAAUCAAAAAAAGAUUAAUUUCAGCAUUAGCAGAUGAAGUAUCAACCUGUGGUUGUCUUUCUUCAAAAGAUGAAAAAAGAUUGCACUCCAUUGUAUCUAAAUAUUUUAAAGGAAAAUUCAUCAAUAUAUAUACAAACAUAUACACACACUAGACAUUUCUAACUUUAAAAGAAAAACAAUUAAAGCCUUUAUUCCAAACAAUAACAAAAAAUAUUUAGCUUAACUGAGCAGAAUUAAAGAGCAAUCUAAAUUCAAGAUGCUAAAACUGAACAAGAACUAGAUCAUGNAUAUAAAUUCUGACACAUGCAGAGANGCAUAGAAAAACACAUGAUAAAAUAUGAAGUAUCUUGAAAGCUAAAAAGACCUUUGCAAUUUCACAUUCCAUCACUGGAAUUUUUUUAGAGUUGGAUCCAUAAGUGGCGAAGAAAUUUAGGAGCUACCAAUUAAAGUGUAUAUUAAAGGAAAUGCUACCAAUUAGUUUAAAGGAAUGAGUUAAUAAAUUAUCCAAAGGCAUGGUUAUCUAAAGAAAAAGGCACGAAAGCAAGAACAUAAGUGAAAAUUAAAUGGAUUUUAUAAGAAAAAGUGGUAAAAAUUUAAAUCAGUAUUCAAUCUUUUUGUUUCCAAAAAGUCUUUUUAUUGUUUUAAAAGCACUAGUAAUAUCAUUAUCACUUUAGAUUUCAAGAAAACUAACAAUAUGGUGUCAGGUCAGACCUAUUGCAGAUAGUAUACACAAACUUCAACCUUUCAUGUGAUCCCUUAGAUACU
rnacentral:lncRNA from 1 species